GACGAACGCUGGCGGCGUGCUUAACACAUGCAAGUCGAACGGAAAGGCCCUGCUUUUGUGGGGUGCUCGAGUGGCGAACGGGUGAGUAACACGUGAGUAACCUGCCCUUGACUUUGGGAUAACUUCAGGAAACUGGGGCUAAUACCGGAUAGGAGCUCCUGCUGCAUGGUGGGGGUUGGAAAGUUUCGGCGGUUGGGGAUGGACUCGCGGCUUAUCAGCUUGUUGGUGGGGUAGUGGCUUACCAAGGCUUUGACGGGUAGCCGGCCUGAGAGGGUGACCGGCCACAUUGGGAAGGAGAGACGGGCCAGACCCCCACGGGGGGCAGGAGGGGGGGAUAUUUCACAAUGGGGGGAAGGCUGAGUGAGACAACCCCCGGGGGGGGAGACGGGCUUUGGGGUGUAAAACCCUUUCCCCUGGGAACGAGGGGGGGGGACGGGAAAGGGUAAAAAAAGCCCCGCUUAAUUAGUG
rnacentral:rRNA from 1 species